rnacentral:rRNA from 1 species
AUUGAACGCUGGCGGCAUGCCUUACACAUGCAAGUCGAACGGCAGCACGGGAGCAAUCCUGGUGGCGAGUGGCGAACGGGUGAGUAAAGUAUCGGAACGUGCCCAGUCGUGGGGGAUAACGUAGCGAAAGUUACGCUAAUACCGCAUACGAUCUAUGGAUGAAAGCGGGGGAUCGCAAGACCUCGCGCGAUUGGAGCGGCCGAUAUCAGAGUAGGUAGUUGGUGGGGUAAAGGCUCACCAAGCCGACGAUCUGUAGCUGGUCUGAGAGGACGACCAGCCACACUGGGACUGAGACACGGCCCAGACCCCUACGGGAGGCAGCAGUGGGGAAGUUUGGACAAUGGGCGCAAGCCUGAUCCAGCCAUGCCGCGUGCAGGAUGAAGGCCUUCGGGUUGUAAACUGCUUUUGUACGGAACGAAAAGGUUUGACUUAAUACGUUGGACUCAUGACGGUACCGUAAGAAUAAGCACCGGCUAACUACGUGCCAGCAGCCGCAGUAA